rnacentral:lncRNA from 1 species
UUUCCCGAUCCCUCCUCUUGGCAAUCCAGGAUAGCAGCCGCAGGCUUCUACAACCCCAACAGGUGUAUCAUCUCUCAGAUCUCAACAAUCUCUAGCCAGAUUUCAACCAGCUCCUUCUUAGGCAUUACCAACUACUCCCAAGAGAGGCUGACCUAUCCCAGGGACUUCUCAAUGCUGUAAAUUAUCAUGCACCCUCCAACUUCUCGCUGCCCCGAGGCUCUUCACUUCAACCUACGGCACCUCCAGUCCGCGGCCUCUGCUGUGCCACCCGGGAUUCAUCAGCGGCCACGGCCUCUGGAUCCUACUGCUUGUAACGGGGUUGAUAGAUAUCUCCCAUGGUUCUCAGUCUAUCCUCAUGAUCUUGCAAAGUGCUUAUCUACACCCUUCUCUUUGUAAUUGUGGCCUGUGUCAUCUAUGGAGGAGAGGAAUGACACUGGGAUCCCCAGCCAGGCAGGCGAUGCACGAAGAUGCAUGGCUGCUCCCUGACCCCCUCAUCGCGUCUGGCUGGGAACAGGCCCUCAAAGAACUACGGUGACAAGCUCCGACGCCGACUCCAGGUCCGACCUGAGGGACCACGGCACCUGGCACGGCAGGAGGCACGUGAGGAUUGGUUCCACGGCCCUCUGGCUUCGCCCAGGGAACUCAGGUCAGCCACCUCACCUGUGGACACUCCUAAGCCACCGACUCCGCCAACGCCACCGACUCCUCCAACGCCACCGACUCCUCCAACGCCACCAACCCCGCCAACUCCGCCUCCGAGCCCAGCACCUGCAGGGCCAGGUGGAGGGGUCACUCGAGGGACGGCAGAAGGCAGAGGCCC